GGGGCUGGGGCUCAAUGGUACAGCGCUUGUCUUGCAUAUGUGAGGCACUGGGUUCAAUUCUCAGUGCCACA
rnacentral:tRNA from 1 species